AUUUAGAGAAAGGGGUGAGUCAGCAGCAGAACGCCUCCUAGCCCAGUCACUUCCCACACAGAGGUCACUUCCGGUUCCAGGAGGUGCCACGGUGUCAGCUUGAAGCAGGCUGGGAAUUCAGACAGUUGGGUGAGGCCAGAGUUGGAGACACCGAACUCAGCUGCUCCAUGCUCAGCAUGUAGGCCUGAUUUUGGAGUGGGAGCUGGAGAGGAGAGCAGAGGAGCUGCUGUGAUCGCCGGUGGCCCUGCUGUGGCUGCUGCUGCUCUAAAACCAUCAGACAAUGCUUCCAGGGCUCUGAGGAGCUGCCUCCCCCACCUCCAGCUCCUGGACAUGAGCAGGGACCCGCUCAUGGGGCUGGAACCCGAGCUCCUGUGGCUCCUGCUGCCCUGCAGCCAACCAUCUGACAUCCCUGCCAGGGAGGUGAGCAGCAGCCUCCCCCACCUCCAGCUCCUGGACAAGAGCAGGGAGCAGCUAAUGGCCCUGGUACCCCAGCUGCUGACUCAGAGCAGCCUGAGCAUGCUGAUGGACAGGAACAACAGGCUUGACAACACAGCCUUGCUGCUGGAGGGACUCGACCAGUCUCCACUCUGUCUCAGACUCCAGAAUGCUCUUGCCCGCUGCAGCUCUGCCUCGCACACCUCAAUAUCCCAGAAUUUUUCUGACUCAGAAGAUGAAACCAGUGAUCGUGCACACAGAAUGCAGAAUGUUCUUCUCGUUUGACAGCUUUGGGUGCAUAAACGAAAACUAAGCAAAGAUGACUAUAAAGGAAAAUGGAGCUUGAGUUUGAUGAUAAAGCUCAGUGGUUUCAGCUUGAAGGUCUACGUAACAGUUGCAAAGAUUUCAAAGGUUUUGCAUUUCAUGUGUCUGUUCAGCAUGAUUGAUUCUAGUUUCCUGUUUAGAUUAUUUUGACUAUAAUUCAUUCCAAAUAGCAGUUCAAAAUUUGGCUGGUUCAUCACUUUGAACUAAAUGAGGGAAAGUUGGACAUGAUUGUGCACUCAUACAUACAAGCACUUGGGAAGUAGAGGCAGAAGAUCAGGAGUUCAAAAUUAGCAUAGAUAUCACAGUAUAAUUGAUGCCAUCCAGGAAUAUAUACCUGAAAACUUGUGUCAAAGUAGGGGUGAGUUGGGGUUGAAUGGAUUGUUUUAACCAAUGAACAUUGAGAAAGUAGUAUUGAUAAAACUGGAAUGAAAAUACUAAAAUGCUGUAUCCUUAAAGUGUAGGAGAAUAACAGUAGCACAAAGUAUUAAUAUGGAAUAUUAACUAUUUAUACUAAUGGAUUAUGCAACAAAAACUAAUAUUAAAACUAUAACUUGGCAUUAAGAAAUAAAUACUUAUCUCUCAGUGCUGAAGAUUAAAUAACAGAACAGUAAUAACAUUAAGACUGGUUGGUAAAGAAAUAAAGGAAGCUUUAGUUUGCACUGCACAAGCAUUUAAAGGGUACUUUGUUAAAAUUAAGUUGUAUGCUGAGGAUAUUUGCAUGUUUGCUUUCAUAUAUUAUUUUAUUUUAGGAGAUUAUAUUAGUAGUCUAUAUGUUAAUUCAUGUUUUGUGUGUGUUUCUGUUAUGUCAUGAAACAGGAGUUUCAUGACUGCAGUUGUGAAACGCUGCUAUAGUGUGUCCCCUUACCUUUUCCUCAGAAUAGUGUAAUAAGAUCAUUUUUACUUUUCUUUUUUUAGAGAUUUUUUCUAUGUUUAUGAAAGUGAUGUUUUUUCUGUUAAUAUAAUUUUAUGAUAUUAGUUAUAUAGUCUUUCAUUUCCGCACAGUGAGCAACAUUAAGCCGCCUAUUCCAAAAUUAGGAAAGGCACAGUUGACUUGGUGGAUUCCCACGUAUCAAACUGUACAUAGUUUGUAAUUAGAUUAUUUUAGUUAAGCAACAUAGAAUGUUAUUGUUGAAAACAUUCAAAAUGAUGGGGCCGUACACUCCUGGAUUAAAUCCUGUAGUUUCUUGAUUAAUUAAUAUCCUGACCUAAAUCAUAAGGUGAGUAGUCUUUUAGAAAUUACUUGUGAAUAACCUUGUGAAUAGAGCAUCUCACCAUACAUACACUAUCAACCAACCAUACAUACACUUUUCAGCCUCAUAGAAAGAGGUGUACUGUUACUUCUUUCGUAAAUGUGUAUAUUCCAGCCUGUGACAUGCAAAUGUAUCCUAUGGUGGUCUUUCCCAAAGUGUUUAUUGUGUUUUUUUUACAUGUUUUGUAAUUAAAAUCUGUAAAUAGCGUGACAAAUCAGUAGUUUAGGCAGAGAUAUGUAUUAUAAGGACAGAUGCAGUACCUUGUAACUCCAGAGCAAACUAUAGUCCAAGAACAUAGCAUAGAAUUUUUUCUUAGUGUAAUCAUCAUUGUUAGUUGUUUUACCUCUCCUUUAUUUUUUGGUUUGGUUUUAUCUUUUUAACCCAACUGUGGCCAUAUCUUUUACAAAAGCUGCCAUUGUUUGCUAGUUUUUUUUCUUUUCCAUACUUUUUCUAUUUUUUAAAAUUGACUAUAUACAUUAACUUGGAGAGAUAGGAAUUAGACAUCCGAAGUAAACAGAAUGUAUUGUAUUUUAAGUUUCAGUGUGUCUGGCUAGUUACAAAUCCCAUGUUUAUCCAACAAAGAAAUCUUUAGAGUUUCACAAUCACCAAAUGGUAGUUUUCAUAAUACAGUUAUUUAUUUUAUUUUCUGUGACAGAGCAGUGCUAGCCUUGAACUGGACAUGUACACAAUUCUGUCAUGUUUGGAAUGCUUUUGCGUGGACUUCCCAACCAUUGGAAUCACAAGUGUAAACCAUUAACCCAGCUAAAUAGCCUUUUAGGAAAUGUACCAAAGGUACCUGUUGCUAAAAGUAUUGAUUUCUAAAUUAACCUUUCCAAAAAAUUUAUAUAUUGCAAAUUUAUUUUAAAUAUGAGAAAUUUGGGUAUUAUAAAUAACAAUAAAGAAUACAGUUAGUCCUCAUUAAGACAAGACCUUAUUGCAGAGUGGCUUCAACAAACUGGAAAUAUAGGGUAAAAAUGAAGACUCAAAUAGAGGCUGUUUGCUGGAAUGUUAAUUAAAAUAAAUCAUUAAAGGCAGCAGAGAAUAAUAGAAGUCAUUUGCCAGGUAAUCCAAUGAUCUAGUAAAGCCCUGUACAGUAAUAAAAAAUUAUCUUAAGUUGAUUUACCAAAUUUCCUACUACUACUAUCUGGAAAACUUAUCAAUAAGUUUAUUAAUUUCAUUUUAUGUUUUAUUAUUAUUAUUAUUUCCAUUUUAAAUAGCUUGCUUUACAUUAUUGAGUCAUCUCUGCUAUUCCAUUGCUCCCUACAAAGAAGAGCAAGCCAGCUAUAGGCUUUCUUUCAAUCUUGCUCUUCCCAGAGUUCCUAUUGGAAAGUAUUUUUUUGGCCUCGUUCAUAAUAUAGCAGCAUAGCAUUAGUGUACCUUUUGGUUGCCUUUAAAAAAUUACACAUUAAAUUGCUGUAGUAGCCUAUUACAUACAUAAUACAAGGUUAAUCUUCAAUUUUCAGUAUGAGUACCUGUAGAUACAAGGUUACCAAUAAAAGUAUAUGUAUAGGUCAUCAGGUGAUCCUUUAAAGAAUGCUUUGUUAGAAUCCAGUUAUAUGCUGAGAAGGUAUGUAUGUUAGGUUUAUUAUGUGUAUAUAAUUUUUAUUUUAGUUCCUUAUUUUACGAGAUUUUAUUAGUAGACUAUAUGGUAAUUCAGGUUUUGUGUGUGUUUUGUGUUAUUUCAUGAAACAGGAGUUUCAUGACUGCAGUUGUGAAACGCUGCUAUAGUGAGUCCCCUUACCUUUUCCUCAGAAUAGUGUAGUAAGAUCAUUUUUACUUUUCUUUAGGGAUUUUUUUCUGUGUUUAUAAAAGUGAUGUUUCUACUACGAAUGUAAUUUUAUGAUAGUAGAUAUAAAGGUUUUUUUCACACUGAGCAACAUUAAGCUGCCUAUUCCAUAAUUAGGAAAGGCACAGAUGACUUGACGGGUUCCCACGUAUCAAACUGUAAAUAUUUUGUAAUUAGAUGACUUUAGUUAAGCAUCAUAGAAUGUUUUCUUGGAAAAUAUUCAGAAUGAUGGGGCUGUACACUCCUGGAUUAAAUCCUGUAUUUUCUUGAUUGAUAAUCUUCCUGAUCUAAGUAAUAACGUGAAUAGUCUUUUAGGAAUUAAGUGUAAAUGGCCUUGUAAGUAGAGCAUUUCACCACACAUACCCUUUCCAACAUCCUGGAAAUAGGUGUACUGUUUCUUCUUUCAUAAAUGUAGAUAUUACAGGCCAUGGCAUAUAAGUAUUUGAUGUAGUGGUCUUUCAACAAAGUGUUUAUUGUGGCUUAUUUUGCUUAUGGUUAAAAGUAUGUAAAUCAUGAGCCAAAUCAGAUGUUUUGCCAGAAAUGGUGAUUAUGCAGACAGAUCCAGGGUGUUAUAAAUGUUGAGAAAGCCAUAUUGUAUGCAUAACAUUGAUAUCUUCCCUAGUAUAUUUUCUACUUCUUUUGUUGUUGUUUUUUUUCUUUUUUAUCCAGUUUGGCAUUAACAUUUACCUAAGCUACCAAUGAUUGCCAAAUUUUUUUCUUCCUUUUCACACUUUUCAUUUUAAAAAAGGAACUGACUAUAGACAUUACUUGAUAAGACAGGAAUUGGUCAUCUCUAUAUAUGAUCAUCUUCUUAAAACAGCAUAUUACAUCAAAGAGGAAGAUGGGCAUCAAGGAAAGUCAUUGUGGAGUUUGCCUUUGACAUGGCAGGACUAGCUUUUUGGUCAAGAAACUUCACUUCUUGGAUGACUUCACAGCAAGUUGUCAAAACUGGACCAGCAGGUUACAAAGAAAAAUGACUGCUGAACUUUCAAGGGACAGAAUGAUUCUUCAUUAACCUGCUUUAUCAAAAAGUCUGCCAGACAUUCUAGGCUUAUAAGAUGAAGAGGGAUUCCACAAUGUUGAAGAUGAUCCUUGAGUGACCUUCUAGGCAUCAAGAUCUCACUGUCAAUUCUAGAGAUUAUACAUUACCUUCUGUAGUCUUUCAUGUUGUUUAAGGAGAUAUUUAUGGUUAUGGAUUCCCUUAGUUAUGGUAGUAAAUAAGUUGCAUAUAUAACUUUAAAGUACCAAAAAUAGGAUAGAGAAUUGAAUGUUUUCUUUAAAUUUGCCAAAUGCUAAUCGACUAAAUAUUGUUAACUCAAAUAUUUGCUUAUUAAGUCUUCUAAAGCUUAAUAGUACCAUUUUAACUUUAAACUUCAUUGCUUAUCCAGACAGAAAGAGGAGAUGAUGCAGGAUGUCCUUCUGUGUGAUGUGAGUAUAUAUUUCUCUUCUUCAUUGAUGAAAAACGUUGUCCUGGCCAAAUGUCUGGCAGGAUAUAGCAAGGGAGAAAGUACAAGUAAUACAACCAGAGUAGGAAAUUCUCAGAGAGGAAUAUGCAGAGCAAGUCUUCAGAAAGAUGCUAUGUAGCUUCUGUGAAAAUAGAUGACCUGGUCAUUUUCUUGAGAUUCACUGACUAAUACAAAAGGGUUAGUAAUUAGAGGGAGCGAGCCAAUGAGUAGCCUUUGCUAAAAGGCAAAUAGUUGAUGAUUUAUGUAACCCUCUGUGUGUUUAUUUGUCACUAUAGUGUGGCAGAAUCAAGAUAAACACUAACUUCUGCCUACACAUUGCUUUUACUGGAUAAAUUACUGAGUUGCUUUGUUUUGUGAACAUGGAUGGUAGAGAAUUCCUAUUCUCAUAGUUCACAUGGUUAGAAAUGUGUUCCUGAGAAUCAGUGCUGACCCCAAUUGUCACAUUCUAAAUGUCAUAUGCAAACUUGCAUUGAGGUUUUCUUAUUUGCAUCCUGUUCCCAAUUGUUGUUUGCUAGCAACAACACAAUGGGGAAGAAUUUCUACAUAACCAGUCUUAGACUUUCAUGAUUUGGCAGUUAAGUACCAACAAAUGUGGCUGAAGAAAUGUUACUUUUAUUUUGGUUAAAUUGUUAUGUAUGCUCUGACUUCUUUAUUUUUCAGAACCUAAAAUCUUAUUGUUGCACAUGGCUGUAUAAGUGUAAAUGUUAUUACAAUGUAACUCUCAAAUAAAAAUCAGUAUUCAAAUUUGUUAUUUGGAAAAGAUAUAGUCCUAUUGUAUCAAGUUAUGCUAUGUUGCAAUGGCAAAUAUUCUAAGAAUAAUGUUUAAACCAUUCAAAUUCAUGUGCCUCCUUUCCCAAAGGACAUGAAAAAUUAUGAUCUUAUAUUAACUACGUAUUCCUUCAUGAAUUUUGCCUUAAACGUUGUGCAUUGUACUAUUAGACCCAAAAGUCUUAGAGAAAUUUAUAAAAAAAUGAAUAAAUUAUGUGAGCAUGCAUUUUCAAAAA